rnacentral:lncRNA from 1 species
AGAGAGAGAGAGAGAGAGAGAGAGAGAGAGUUCAUUGUUAAGGAUAGAUAGGUUAAAAUUUUCAAGGUUCUGUUUGGUUUAUAAAUAUGCAUAUUGUAGAUAUUCUGAUUAAGAGUCUUUUAAGCACAAAGUCAAGCACAGGACUGCAAACCCAGUGCAAAUCUGGCAAUUGCCCAAGGGAGCCAACAGUAGCAACAGCUAAACUUCUACUAUAAACAUAUUGGUGAAAACCUCUCAAAAUGUUGCAGUGUCUACAUCAUCAAUUCCAGCCUUGAGUUAUUAGAUGGAAAUUCUUCUAUUAUAACACAACAUUGGCCUACGGUCUGAAUAACACUGUAGUAGGCACUGGGUUACAUAAAUGAACAAGAGUAAAAGCUUCUACUCUCAUAAGGGAAGAACUGUAAGCAGUUAUUAUACGGUGGGGUAAGUGAAAUGAUAGGAGUUCUGAGAACUCUGAAGGAGGAAUUUCUAUUGAGAACAGCUCAUGGACACCUUUGUAUUAAGAAAAGCAAAGGUGGUUGCUGAUCCAAAUGGGUGGGAAGAUAGAUAUAGGAACAUCAGUGACAGGAAAGGACAGAGCAGUCUUCCUUCUUGCAAUUUACCUUCAGUUGCUGACUGUACUUUUUUUUUCCACAAAUGGGGGGAUGGAAAUAAUAGCUCAAAAUCAUUGUCUUUAAAGGGAUUUAUUUUUCCCAGUUACCAGCAGUAGUUGCAGUCUAAGAUCAGCUCACUUGCUCUAUGGGACAGAUCAGUAAAGAUUUGUUUUUUCUUACCCUGUGAUCUUUUCUGGAAUUGAAACAUCACACAGGGAAAAGACAGGUCUGCUAGAGUUGCUUAUAAUUAUACUUCCCCUCAAGUCCUUAUAUCAGGAGCUCUAAUCCAAUUUUCUCAGACCCCAUCUCCCUGCUGACCAACAAAGGUUCCAUGCUGGGUCUUGCAAAAUUAAGCCAUAAGCUUUUCUUCCACCAAAGGUUCGAAUCUGAGCACAGAUGUCAGAGUUAAUCCAGUCACCCCAGGUCCUCUUAAAGCCAUAGAAAAGUAGAUUUGUCUUGCUGCCUUUUUAAUGGUGUGGAAUUUUCCUCUGCUCAGCAACUUUCCUCACUUUGUUGGUUAUACCUAAUUGGGUUUAUCUUUGUCUGAGCCAACAUGAUGGACAGACCUUUUGGCGAGUGGAUGUAUUUAUUUCUAGGGCUUAAAAUGUGGUUCAUAGACACCUCUGGAGGCCAAAUAUCCACUGGGAAUUCUUAUCCCACUCUAGCUGUUUAUUCUGAAAACAGAACUGUCAUCAAUGACCCUAGAAAACAGAACCUGGUCCUUUAAGGAUGUUGUAGCAGUUACAUGAUAUUACAGCCAAACUGAUAAUGCUCAGUGGUGUUAAUUGGGGUCAACUUCUAACAUGCUUUUGAGGUCCGUGAUUGCUACCAGCACAACCUAAGUCUCUUGAAGGCUGCAUACUUAUCAAUAAUCCAACCAGAUUCUUUGUCUUUUAGAUAAGUCACUUACCACCACAGUUGAACAUCUAAUUUGAAGUCAGGUCUUUCCUAAUUGCUGGUUUUCAGAGUGAUCUCUAAUAAGUUCCUUAUAUUCCUGAAUCUUGGCAGUACAGUUUGGCUAAGACAGAAAGACUUGUUUCAAAUUCUGACUGUACCACCUUUUAGUCAUGUGACUUGGGCAAGUUACUCAAACAGCCCCCACCCCCCUGCUGUGAUGCUGGGAAUGGAACCCAGGGCUUUGCACAGACUGGCAAACUCUCUACCACUGAGCUAUAUCUCCAGUCCAAGUUACUCAGACUCUUAAUUUCUUCAUUUGUGAAAUUGGGCCAACAAUGCUCUCUCAAAGGUUUAUACUGAGGAUUAAUUGAAAUAAUAUAUAUAAAACACCCAGCACACUACAUAGCUUAUAGUUAGUGCUAAAUAGAUAGUGCUUGUUCUGAUUACCUUACUGACAAGAUCAUGUCCUCAGUUCUGCCAAGAACUGGUUUGCUGCCUUUAUGGCCAAGAAAAUAUAGACUUCAGAUUUAGGUUCAAAAUUAUAUGGACUGCAAGAACCAUUAGCCAAAUUGGAGAUUGGCCACCUAAUUUGUUUCACUCAUCUCUGCCCAGCCUUUGGCAGACAUACCACAGUCUUGCAGGGAACGUGAGACAGAGGGAAGACUGGCAAAAGAUGCAAUGAGGUGAAAUUAUGCAGCUGUCUUGUAGCCUGGUCUUCUUUCUUGCCCCACCUUAAAUCCAUAGUUCCUGUGGCUCCUCAUUGCUUCCCAAAAUCAAAGUGAUUUUUGAGAUCACUUUGUUCUGUGUGCUGAAAGAUGGGUCCAGAAGCUCAAGGAGAGUUGUGCUGGGUGUGGUGACAUGCUGAAAAGUGACCUUAAGAGGCACCAGCUGCGUUAGUGUGUUGGAUGCCGGGCUAGGAACCUGAGCAACAGUGGCCUGUUGGACAGCCUUCACAUAGUCUAGUGGGCAAGAAGACGAGGUCACCGACAAUGCCACCGCAGAGCUGUGAGAGCCACACGAAUGUCAGUGUAGGAUUCUGGAAGCCACAGAAACUCAGAAGGCCAAAGAAAGGGGUGCCAGUACCAAAAGGGGUAAAAAAGGAGUUAGCCCCCAAAAGCUGCAGGUUUAGUGGGGUCUAGGGAGUGGGUGGGAGUGUCAGGCAGAGGAGAGGAGUUGACUUGGCAGUUGCAUCUGGUAUGUAGAUGCCCCUGGAGGGGUGCUGAGAGGUGAAGAGGAGCCAGGGAGACUUGAGGAACUGUUUGCCAACUGCUGUUGGCACCUCCCUGGUGUCAUUUAAUGGGCUAUUAUCCUCAGUGCAUUCCUUGGUGAAGGCGCAGAGAUUUUGUGCUCUGGGGACCCCACUGUUAGUGCCAAGUCCUUUCUUCACUACUUUUUCUUUGGUAUUCCUCUCUUUGGGCCUCCCAUUCACCUCCCUCUCCUCCCAGUAGACUUCUUCUGCAAUGCCUGUGCUUUGUCACAGAACUUGGCUAGUGGGCGGGAAAUCUCAGGGAACAAACCCACAGUGGUGGGAUCUGGUGUGCAGUGCACCUGGUCAUCUAUGCAGACGCUCUGCUCGAUGAGGGGCAAGUUGUACUGAGCCCCACCCCUUUGAUCCUCCCCUGUGGUCCUUGAGGGCUCCUUGCCAGCUUCCUUCUAAGACAAGGUUUCUCUCCCAGCUCCUGUGUUCAGAGGAGGAACCAUGGUGCUUCUCUGCGUUCUUGUUCUGUCACUCAGCUCCUGAUAGUGCUGUCUCACAGUCACCCAAAUCCUGACUGGGAAGAGAUGCCACACCCCUCUCUUUCUUUCUCUCUUUCCUCUCCUCCCUGCAACCCCAUGCAUCCCCUUGGCUGUUGCUCAUAAAAAUAAAAACGUAUAUGGCUAUUUCUCAGCUUCCUAGUCUCAUCCUUUCCCAUGCAAUCCCAAACUCGUAUGCCUUCUCAAAGUGUAACUGACACUGACUGAGAAUUUACUAUGUGAUAGAUACUUUAUAUGUCUAUGAGCUCAUGCGAUCCUUGAAAACAAUCAUGGAAGUGGGUGUUAUUAUCUUCACUUUUUUUUUUUAAAUGAGAAAAUCAAGGUUAGGGGUAUAAAGUGUUUUGCCCAAGACCACCUGCAAGUGAUUUUAGGAGAGCUAAAAUUCAAAUCAGGUCUGACCCAAAAAACCCAUGAAUUUCAUUUUGUGUUUUAUAAAUUUUAUUUCUUGCUUUUGAAAUGUUUAGUGGAAAAUGCAAAUAAUAGAGAAAAUAAAGAUGCACUCUCCUAUAAUCCUACAUUCUUAGUUACCAUUAAUAUUUAUGGUUUCUGUUCCAUCUUUAUCUUCUGGGGUUUUAAAUAUACAUUUAAAAAUUGGCACAUAUCUAUGCAUGUAUAUUAUUAUACAUAUUUAUGUACAUAAUUUUCUAU